rnacentral:snRNA from 1 species
GUGCUCACUUUGGCAGCACAUACACUAAAAUUGGAAUGAUACAGAGAUUAGCAUGGACCCUGCACAAAGAUGACAUGCAAACUGGUGAAACAUUUCAUAUUUUU